UAUCAGUUAGUUGUAGUUUGUGAACAAUCCUAAGCCACCUAAACCAUGUUUACUCUCACUCGCCAGUGUUUUUGUGUCUUCCAGAACGUGAUCACAAAUUGGUGUGGAUUAUGUGAGGCCAGUCUGAUGUCAGGUCCUCGAGAGCUACCACCGUGCAUCCUUUCCAACUAUCCAUGCCCUGCCCACUGCUGCAUACCUGCAUCAUGUGCGUUCAGUCAAUCAGAAGUUGGAAGAUACCACCUUAGAUGAACGUGGAGCGAGGACAAAGUGAAUUGGUUGGUUGGAGGAUGGACAACAGUUAUCAGUUGAAGCCACACCCCCCACCCCACCCCACCCACCGUGCUCGGCAAUGCAAAUAAUGACAACACCACUGAUGACCAAACACAGUGACCAAGCGGCUGUCACUCACAUCUGUUCCCAAUGGCUUUGCUCGGCUCGUCUUGGAAUCUGAGCUGGCUAGUACCCGGAAGCACGGCGGCCACAAUUCAGAAACGAUGCUGGAAGCAUUUGAAAUCAAGGCUCUAAUGAUGCCACUGCAUAAUGAAAGCAGAAGGACUGAGAAGGAAGUGGAGCCAGUGUCUGUGU